UAAGGGAACAACCUGGAGAAGCCUAUUGGAAUCCAGCAGUCGGAUAACUGAGAGACACUGGGGUGGCAGUAUCGGAGGGGCCGGCCUGCACCCCGCUCCCGGCAGACUACUGCAGACUUGACCUCAGCAGCUUCAGAACAGGUCUCCCUGACCCCCGGCCAAGGGACCGCAACUUCACUGCUAUGGUGGUAACAAUGUUUCUCAAUGCUGCCUCCCUCUUCUGCCUCCACAUCAGCUCUAUGUAGACAUCGUACACCUUUGUUUGGCCUUCAGCUUAAUCCAGGAGUCCAUCAUCCUGCUAUGAGACGGAGUCAGCGCGGGGAAGGCCCCCCUCUUCUCGGUAUUCCCAGUCAUUUAAUUUAUGUCCCACUCUUCGAAGUUCCUUCUACAUGUUUGACGUUUGGAGCACACAGCCAGAGCUCUGUGUCCCUGGGCAAAUCAUUGGAUCUGCAACAUCUUAUCUUCUUCUGCAAAAUGGUAAUAAUAGGAAG